GCGGGGCUGCCCGGCACGAGCCGCAUGAAUAUCCCUGAGGCUAUAAGCAAUCCUAGGGAGCUGUCCCUGCCCUGGAACACGGGCCACUGCGUUUUUCGGAACGGAACCCAGGAACCGGGGUAUACGGCGCCCACCUGACGUUUUAGGCGUCAGAGGAUUUCAAGGUAACGACCCAUGGUGGUCCCGCC
rnacentral:other from 1 species